rnacentral:rRNA from 1 species
AUUGAACGCUAGCGGGAUGCUUUACACAUGCAAGUCGAACGAGUGGCGGACGGGUGAGUAGUAUCUCGGAACGUGCCCAGUCGCGGGGGAUGACUACUCGAACGAGUGGCUAAUUACGCAUACUCUUGGAGCGGCCGAUAUUGGAUUAGCUAGUUGGUGGGGUAAAGGCGCACCAAGGCAACGACCCGUAGCUGGUUUGAGAGGACGACCAGCCACACGGGGACUGAGACACGGCCAAGACGCCUACGGGAGGCAGAAGUGGGGAAUGUUGGACAAUGGGGGAAACCCUGAUCCAGCCAUCCCGCGUGUAUGAGAAGGCCUUCGGGUUGUAAAGUACUUUUGGCAGAGAAGCGGUAUCUGCAGAAUAAGCACCGGCUAACUACGUGCCAGCAGCCGCGGUAAUAC